GCUUGGUGAUCUUGACAAAGUCCUCAUUGCACUUCUUAGGGAUACCGGCAGCCUCCUUAAUGUCGGCACGGCCUCCUCCUUGGAGUCAGAGUUCUUGGCAAGGAUACGCUUCGCGUUGCCUAGACAGCCCUGCAUGAUGAGCCCCGGGAAAUUCCAGCAUGACGAGUACCCCGAUGAUGAGCACGACCAAGGAGAUUGCUCCACGCUAAGCAUGAUGCGCCACUCGAGGUUGAGAAUCAAGGGACAAAAGAGGAAUAUGUCAAAAAAAUUGCCGAAGGAUUCGUGUGAUAUAAUUGUUUGAUGAGAAGAGUUCUUUUGCUAAUUCAUAGAAUCCCCAUAUGAUCUCCUCCUUGCUCUAUCUCUCUCCCGCAAGGAAGUGUUCUGUGUCUG